GGAUCAGUACGCUGGUCGUGCCUUGGUAUGUACUGGUAUUAUUGAUUCCUACCUUCUGACGAACCAUGAUGUCAUUAAUUUGGUGUCAUGGGGAAUCAGGACUGUUACUUUGAAAAAAUUAGAGUGUUUAAAGCAGGCUCACGCUUGAAUACAUUAGCAUGGAAUAACGAAAUAGGACGUUUGAUUCUAUUUUGUUGGUUUCUAGGAUCGACGUA
rnacentral:rRNA from 1 species